rnacentral:misc_RNA from 1 species
GGAAAGAGAAAGGGAAGAGGUAUUUCUGCUGGACAAGGCAACAGUUGUGGGUUCGGUAUGAGAGGUCAGAAGUCGCGCUCCGGUCCUGGUGUUAGAAAAGGGUUUGAAGGAGGCCAGAUGCCCCUCUACCGCCGCAUCCCCAAAUUGCGAGGAAUUGCUGGAGGUAUGCAUGCGGGUCGUCCUAAAUAUGUCCCUGUUAAUUUAAAAGACAUAGAAGCAGCAGGAUUUCAAGAGGGCGAAGAGGUGUCAUUGGAGACUUUGAAAGAGAAGGGCUUGAUCAAUCCAUCUGGAAGAGAAAGGAAACUCCCUUUGAAGAUUCUAGGUGAUGGGGAGCUAAGUGUAAAGCUGAACUUGAAGGCUCGGGCCUUUUCAGAAUCGGCCAAGGAGAAGCUUGAGGCUUCUGGUUGCUCUCUUACUGUGUUAACUGGGCGUAAGAAGUGGUUGAAACCAUCAGUUAUUAAGAACCUUGCUCGAGCUGAGGAAUACUUUGCAAAGAAAAAGGCUGCAGCUGCUGCAUCUGAGCCAGUCUCUACUUGAACCAUUUUCAUUAAUUUUUAUGUGUUUAAGACGGAGUAAAAUAGCACGUGGAGAUAUAAAGCUGGGUGCUUAUUAUUAUUACUGUUAUUUUCUGUUUGUUAGAUUUCUUAGUUGUCUGUCCCAG